GCACAAACAAUUCACAUAACGGAUUGGACAUGACCACCAAAACUCCCUCUGACUGUAACAUAACAUGGUGCCCGGCCCUUCGGGCUCCUCAGGACUUCAUUAUGCCCGGCCCUUCGGGCUCCUCAGGACUUCAUUAACAUAACAUAGCUAGGGCUAUUGGGGUCGCCUUGGUCCAUCCACAUCAACAGUAAAUAAUGCAAUGCGUUAUAUUCGUGUAACUAGUGCAAUCAACCUAUUACAUAUAAACAUGAUGCUUGAACAUGCUUU
rnacentral:lncRNA from 1 species